ACAGGCCACUGAGUCCAACCUCUAGAUAGAAAGGCAGUAUGGCCACAAAGUCAAUGAUGUUCAAAGAGUUUUUGAUAAAUUCCACCUUGUUUGGGCAGAAAGUGACUCUCAUCAAGAACUCAAAUGUAAACCAGACCACACAGACACCUUCGAUGUAGGUGAGAAAGGCUUCAGUCUCUGCUUCCCUGUAGUGCCGCACCUGGGUGUCAUUCCCGAUGAAUUCAGUUUCUGUCUUGUUCACAAUGGGGUUAAAUCUCUCAUGGGUCUCGAGGCAGAAGGUGGUGAUGGAGACCAGAAUGAAGAAGAGGGAGGCAAAUGCCACAUACUGUAGAAAGAAAGAUACGAGAGAAUCGUUAAACAGUAGGUUAAGCACAGGGGCUUUGGUUCUUACAGAAGGGAGAGACAAGAGCCGUGUUAAAACUGAAGAUUACGCCAAGCCUUCUUCCUGUGGGCUUAAGAUGCCAAGUCUCACCUGCAAAGACAGCCUGACAUUCAAGCUGGGAUGGAGACCAGUAUGGCAGUCAGUCAGAGAAGAGAAGCAAGAAGAUUUGGAUAUACCUGUCAGCUGAUCCAAAAGGAGACAGAUCUACUGGAUUCUACCACACGAGGUUUUCUUCAAGAGAUUUUCAUUGCAUUGGAAAUUCAGGAAAUCCUACCCUUCCCUCAACCAUGAAAGGCAGAGGAAGAUGGCCUUUUGCUUGAAUCAUCAGAAAAUUUCCUAUAGAAGUGGCACCCUGUCUUUCUAAUGGUCUGUUCUGGUGAGUUAUGGUUUUGAUGAAAAAAUACUUAAUUUACUAGAUCAUAACCAUCCUGUUCCUCUUGAACCAAAAAAGCACAGGAGAUAAGAAGUUGUCGUCUUAGUCAGUAUGAGCAGAACCUCUGAACGUCAUUUGCUUCCUCCCCAGUGGGAGAGCCCAGGGCUUGGCAAGACUGAAAUGAGAGAUGAAAACAUUCUCCUCAUACAUCUUUGCCCUCCAAGGGAGAAGUGAUGGAGCCAUUAGUGCUGCAGUGCCUCUAGAAAUAUAAGGUCUGCCAGGGCUGCUCCUCCCAGAUAGAGGCAUCUUGCUGGGGACAUUGCUCUCUGCAAGGAGGUUUUACCAGGAGGAUGGACUUGUGGCCAGCCAGGGGGAUCACCUGCCUCGCUUCUGGUGCUCACAAUGUAGCAAUGGGCUUCCAGGUAUUUGCACAGUACAGUGACAUGGGGACCAUGGAUAGGAGAUGGCAUGUACUGCUUGAAUGCAGGUUGAUCUGUGCAGUGUAGCUGCAUGAGACACUCCGAUUCCUAGUCCAAACACCAACCAGAAGCCCUCUGCAGCACAAACUUUUGCCUCAGCUUUUAUUAGUGGUAAUUUGCCUUUACGGUGUUCUGCUUCACUUGUUCCCGAGUACAAGAUACACUUGCUAUAGCCUCCUACCUACAGAACCCUUCUCUGCCGUGUUUUUGUAUUUAUCAGUCCAGGGAAUGAAGGGGUUAUGGUGAUGUUAUCUGGCAUUUUAUCACCCCCUCUAUGUCAGUAUCUGUUUUACUAUCUCUCUGAAGAGAAGAGUUUUCAUACCUAUGUUUCUGUGGCUUAACUCUUACAUGUGCCAGAAGUAAACAUACGGAGCCAGGAAGGUAGCCAUUUUAUGCCAGUUUGCUCCUUUGGCAUUCUCUCUCCUGUUCAGGUGGUCAAGCACUUCAAUUCCCAGGUAGAUUUCCCUUUUCUCAUAGGAAAUAUCUCACUUUCUUUGUGGCGAGAUUUGACAGUUUUGUAAACAAGUGCAUAUAUGAU